GCCCGGUCGCCGCCCGGGUCGGCUGCGUCGCGGGGAUUGAGCCCCACACUGUAGGACUGGAGUGAGGGGAGCGCUUUUCGGCUCAUCCCAUUUACUUUGAAACCGAAAGCGCCGCGGCGGCAGGAGCCCCCCGCCGGUCUGCGGGGACCCGGGCCUGGCUGCCCGUCCCACUCGAGCCCGCAGUGCUUUGCUGCACCCCCAGAGGAAAUGAGGAACCAGAGGUCUCCUGACAACUUGGAGAGACAUCACACUUCUCUUCAAAGGAACUAAAACCAUACCCACAUCAUUCUCCAUCCCAUGUCCAAGAAAACCCUCUUCUGCAAAAGUGUAAGGAAAAGAAAAGACACCCUCCUUCUGCCUCUGUGACACCAAAGCCAGCCAUCGUGUGGAUGGGACAGUUGGGUUUGGGGGGCUGUUGUCACAUGUCAUCUGGCUGUGGUGGGAUCACCUGCUCCCUGCAUGGUCUCCCUGUCACGUUAGACCUGAUGGGAAAUGACCUCAUUACACCUGCGUUUCUCCAAGGCCCUUCCUCUUUGUCUAACCUGCAUGGUUAAAGGUUGAUGAAAAUAAAACCAGUCUGUCC